rnacentral:lncRNA from 1 species
GUCAUACUGCCCAGAUAUUUUUCACUUUGGCUUUUAUAUUGAAAAUGUAGUACUUCACAAUUCAAUCUCAUUUUUUAAAAUAUAUAUAUUUUUUGUUGUUUUUAGGUAACACCAAACUUGGCUGAAACUCUUUAUAGGUAUAGAACUGACCUAGAGAUAAUAUUUAACAUCAUAGAUAAGGACCACUCAGGUCAGAUCUCCAUCGAGGAGUUUCGUCAGACUUGGAAGCUCUUCAGUUCUCAUUUGGGGGUGGCUGUGAAUGACCAGACGAUAGAUGACAUGGCUCGAAGCAUAGACUUUAACAAAGAUGGCAGCAUUGAUUUUAAUGAGUUCCUGGAGGCCUUCAGGGUGGUGCAUAAACUAGAUAUCAAAGAGCAGCAGCAGGGUUAAUUCUGAAUGAGCAGAUUACAGACCGCAAAGGCAGAUUUACAAAUCAUUUUUGGUACUUCAUCUUUAUUUUUUAACAACUCAUGGACACAGUUAGAAGUUAUUCAUUUUCGUUUUCCAGGAUUCGCAUUUUUCAUAAAGACUCCUCUCUCCAGGACACUUUUAGGAUUUCGACAGUCUUUUUUUUUUUACAGUGGAAUUUUCUCAGUCAUGCUAGGUUGGAGAUCUGCACUGCUAUGUGUAUUUUUGUCCCAGCUCUGGACGCAAACUCAAGGCCUUGCUGGCUGUAUGUUUUUCCAUUAUGGAGGACUGUACGUUACCUUCCCCUGUAAUCCAGGAUUCCGGAUUCACGGUUACCGUACUAGCAGCUGUGUGUCUGGACGAUGGGCCAGAAACCCACCGCUUUGUGUGGGAUGCCUCAGCCUUGGUGAUCUCCUGCAUGGAAGUACUGUGGUUUCUGAAGACAGAUCUCUGGCCUUCUUCAGCUGUAACACUGGAUUCAGUUUGUUUGGUUCUGCGCUUCUCUUCUGCAAGGGGAAAAGCUUGAACGCCACUAAGCCUGUCUGCAAGAUGACUGAUUUCAUGAGUGUUCUUCAUCUGAAGCAAGAGUCUUUACAUGAUCCUGUCUCAGCACAGGGCCAUGAUGUUCCUACAAGCCUAAAAAUUCACUUACAUAGCCAUUUAAACACCCUUGCAAUUACCGCUCCCAAAGAUGCUUUUUUAAAAACAGCAUUGCUUGGGGUCGCUCACAUCAGAUUUGACUUUACAGACCUCAAGCAGAAAAAUAUAAGGAAACCAGUAGAGAAAAAAACCCUCAAAGAUUCUAUUGUUUGA